UACGGAGGGUGCGAGCGUUGUCCGGAAUCAUUGGGCGUAAAGGGCGCGUAGGUGGCGGGAUAAGCGUGCGGUGAAAGCUCGGGGCUCAACCCCGAGUCGGCCGUGCGAACUAUCCUGCUUGAGCACUGUAGAGGCAGGCGGAAUUCCGGGUGUAGCGGUGGAAUGCGUAGAGAUCCGGAAGAACACCGGUGGCGAAGGCGGCCUGCUGGGCAGUAGCUGACACUGAGGCGCGACAGCGUGGGGAGCGAACAGG
rnacentral:rRNA from 1 species